ensembl:lncRNA
GCAAUAUUGGUGUGUUGCUUUUGUCCAGAGUGAAAUAUUUUAAAAAUUCAUGAUUGGGUUUGCUCAGACAUGCAUGGUUACCAGAUACACUGUGAAAAUGGGUUUGAGUUGCAGUUGAGGCUCCUACAACUCUCAAAGUAAAACCUGCGCUGACCCAGAGCUGUGGAAACCAAUCACCCACAGCUAUGAUGCUAAUGGUCUUCAUGGGGCAAUGGUACUGUGCACAAUGCAGUCAUAAGGGAUUAGAGCAGCUCUCUGCACAUGGACCUAUCACUCAUGGGUGAGGACAGCUGAGAGAAAAAGGGAGUUUCAACAGAAAAUGAUUUAACAACUUUGCAUCUGCCUUGAAUUCCAUUUCUCUGUGUGAUUGUGGAUUUCCUGCACUGUGACUGUUAAGUAAAAAAAAUACCCCCACCAAAAAAAACCCCAAAACAAAACAAAAGCAAAAACACGGAUUAGCUUUAUUAUUUGUGCCUUUUCUCCAACACUUAUUCCUUCUGCACGUCCCAAGAAUUAGACCAUAUCACAGUCAUAUGUAUAAAUAAUCCACUGGCUCACAGUCUGUUAUCAUCACACUAAUCUUCUUGUCUGUUUAAUAUCAAAUGCAAUGCUUCUGGAAUCAGCUGAAAUAACACUGCUGGUGUUUCAAGCAAUUAACCUUUUCCACUGUGUAAAUGGCUCGGGGGGGAAAGAAAGAGGAAGUCAAGUGGGAAUGAAUGUCUGCCUGUGCGCUUCAUCCAAUCUGGGAGAAUACAUGGCACAUUUCAGGGAGGCCCCCGCUAAGUCAGGAAUCAUGCAAGAACCCUGCACAGUCUGUGCGUGUGUGCAUGUGUGUGUGUGUAUGUUGAAGGGUUUGUGACAAAUGCAAAAGAAAUCAGUGUGGUCUCCAAAGCGCUGUUUGGAGCUAAUAUAAUGGGGUGAAGGGGGGGUUGAUGUGUGGAAGCUGAUGGUAAUGGGGAGAAAGGGAGGUAAGACAUUAAUAAAAACCAAAUCAGUCAGGCUUGACAUAAACACCCCUUUGUUCUUUGAUGUGACGGCAGCAGCCACACUGUCGGGAACGUGAUACAUCACACACAGGACCGCUGAGGAGUCCCCCCCCCCCACACACACACACACACACACACUUUCACCAUUCCCUUUCUAUUGCUUCAUGAAGAGCACAUAUACUCACGUUCUCUUUGGCUCGGUCUUCAACUUGUCACGUACACACAUACACACCCUCUGAGGUUUAAUAUCCCCUCCACCUCCAUCUCCUACCUAGAGGCCUAAUACCCAGAGCUUGAUAAUAGAGCGCUGUGUCUGAUUCGUGUCUGCAGGAAGGAGCCAUGAAAUUACCUUCCUAUGCAUCAAGGGCUAUAGCAUAAAGCUGCACCUCAAUCACCAAGAGAAUAAGACCUAUUGUUACAAGCCAGGGCUUUUAAGAAAGUAAGCGAUUCGACUUAGAAAAAAAAGAGAAGAUGAUAAGACUUGAUAUCCCUGAAUAGUACGACCAUCGCUCAGAGUUAGAGCUUUACAAAAAUCCAGGUCAAGCCUCUCUGUGUCUUUGAGAUCUUGGAAGAAACUCUGAGCGUAUGAUUAUAUAUUAACCCCAAAGUGCGGG